UACAGAGGUCUCAAGCGUUGUUCGGAUUCAUUGGGCGUAAAGGGCGCGUAGGUGGCGGGGCAAGUCAGGUGUGAAAUCUCGGAGCUCAACUCCGAAACUGCACUUGAUACUGCCUUGCUAGAGUACUGGAGAGGAGAUUGGAAUUUACGGUGUAGCAGUGAAAUGCGUAGAUAUCGUAAGGAAGACCAGUGGCGAAGGCGAAUCUCUGGACAGUUACUGACACUGAGGCACGAAGGCCAGGGGAGCAAACGGG
rnacentral:rRNA from 1 species